AUUGAACGCUGGCGGCAUGCCUAACACAUGCAAGUCGAACGGCAGCACGGCAGUAGCAAUACUGUGGGUGGCGAGUGGCGGACGGGUGAGGAAUACGUCGGGAAUCUGCCCAGUCGUGGGGGAUAACUAGCCGAAAGGUUAGCUAAUACCGCAUACGACCGAGAGGUGAAAGCGGGGGACCGCAAGGCCUCGCGCGAUUGGAUGAGCCGACGUCGGAUUAGCUAGUUGGAGGGGUAAAGGCCCCACCAAGGCGACGAUCCGUAGCUGGCUGAGAGGAUGAUCAGGCCACACUGGGAACUGAGACACGGUCCAGAUCCUACGGGAGGCAGCAUGGGG
rnacentral:rRNA from 1 species